AUAAAAGAUCACGGUUGGCCUGAAUUAUUUCGACCAAUCAAUCAAAAGCACUCUUUACGGCAACAAAGAUGGAGGCAUCCAGUUCUGUUGCAGUACCGACGGUUUAGGGACGUCUUGGCAUCUAAGUGCAGAAUUUGAAGCAAAUGUGACAUCAACCCUCUAGACCGAUGAGAGAAACAACACUGAACUUAAAUUUCGGAUAUAACCCUGAACAAUUGUCAUCAAUCACAUGACAUGCUGCUCACCACUAGAGGAAGACCCCUAUUGAAUUUGGCUUUGAUUCCUCUAAGUUCUUUAUGCCAAGACGAAGACUUCUAUCCAUUUUGGUGUUGAUACUCCAAAGGUCAAGGUCACAUCUUUACCCGGUAUAUGGUUUUGUUGUAUGAAAAUAGUAUCUGAGAGAUAUACUUAAGUACCUCUUGACACUCUCAACCUAAGUUGCCUGUAACUAACAGAACACAAGGUCAAGCUCACAUUCUAACCUUUCUAUUUCAUGAAGUAAUUUCUCAUCUGUCCUGGGAACACAUAAUAUGAUAAUUGUAUUUUCAUGUUUUUUGCCAAGAAAUUUCUAUUCAGGAUCUUUUAUUGUAUGGUAGCAUAUGAACGUACUAUUGUACUGUAAAUAUGCAUUUAGGAUGGCAUGCAUGUUUCACAAACAUUUUUAGCUCAUCUAUUUUUUGAAAAAAAAUUAUGAGCUAUUGUCAUCACCUUGGCGUCGGCGUCGGCGUCGGCGUCGGCGUUGGCGUUGGCGUCGGCGUCCGGUUAAGUUUUGCGUUUAGGUCCACUUUUCUCAGAAAGUAUCAAUGCUAUUGCAUUCAAACUUGGUACACUUACUUACUAUCAUGAGGGGACUGGACAGGCAAAGUAAGAUAACUCUGGCGUGCAUUUUGACAGAAUUAUGUGCCCUUUUUAUACUUAAAAAAUUGAAAAUUUUGGUUAAGUUUUGCGUUUAGUUCCACUUUUCUCAGUAAGUAUCAAUGCUAUUGCAUUCAAACUUGGUACACUUACUUACUAUCAUGAGGGGACUGGGCAGGCAAAGUUAGAUAACUCUGGCAUGCAUUUUGACAGAAUUAUGUGCCCUUUUUAUACUUGGAAAAUUGACAAUUUUGGUUAAGUUUUGUGUUUAGGUCCAUUUUAUUCCUUAAGCAUCAAAGCUAUUGCUUUCAUACUUGCAACACUUACUAACUAUCAUAAGGGGACUGUGCAGGCAAAGUAAUGUAACUCUGACUGGCAUUUUGACAGAAUUAUGUGCCCUUUUUAUACUUAGAAAAUUGAAAAUUUGAUUAAGUUUUGUGUUUAGGUCCACUUUAUUCAUACAGUAUCAAAGCUAUUGCUUUCAUACUUGCAAGAUUUAUGAACUAUCAUAAGGGGACGGUGCAGGCAAAGUUAUGUAACUCUGACUGGCAUUUGGACGGAAUUAUGGGCCAUUUAUACUUAGAAAAUUGAAAAUUUGGUUAAGAUUUAUGUUUUGGUCCACUUUACCCCUAAAGUAUCAUAGAUAUUGCUUUCAUACUUGGAACACUCACAAACUAUCAUAAGGGUACAGUAAAAGGACAAGUUGCAUAACUCUGGUUGUCAUUGUUACGGAAUUAUGGCCCUUUUUUGACUUAGUAACUUUUAAUAUAUGGUUAAAUUUUGUGUUUCGAUCCACUCGAAGUAUCAAGGCUAUUGCUUUCAAACUUCAAAUACUUACAUGCUAUCAUGAGGUUACUGUACCUGGCAACUUGAAUUUUACUUUGACCUUUGAAUGACCUUGACUCUCAAGGUCAAAUUAUUAAAUUUUGCUAAAAUUGCCAUAACUUCUUUAUUUAUGAUUAGAUUUGAUUGAUACUUUGAUGAAACUACUCUUACCUGACAUACCACAAUAGACUUCACCCAAACCAUCCC